rnacentral:lncRNA from 1 species
UAUUAUUUUUGAAUGUGAAAGAAGGUCUUGCAUAUUCUUUAGGGCCUUGUUCUAUGGAGUGUGCAGCCAUCACAUAUCCUAUUCAGAUGCUAGAUUUAGAGCGCGACAGUUGGUCUGUGAACAUCGAAAAGAAAGGUGGAAGGAAUAUUUUCAAAUCCCUCCAAAAUAAAAAUUUCUCUUAACAUGGGAAAGAAGGAGAUCUUCUGUUUUCGAGAAAAAACAAAAAGAAAAAAAAAGAAAGUGUGGGGAGGA